rnacentral:rRNA from 1 species
GAUGAAGGUUUCCGCGUCCUUGUUGUUUGGAUCCGUCUAUCGCACGACUCCCUUGGUCGUGUCCGACUAGUACCCCUGCUUCCGUUGAGGGCCAAUAUAGAGGCGGCGGUCGUGGGCUCUGGGUUCAUCUGAGACAGGUCGCGCUCUGUUCGGUUUCGUGCGAAAAGCAUCGAUUUUGGGGCGGUUCGGUUCGAAUUUUCCCGAGCCUUUUUCGUGCUCUGAGGCGCCGAUCUGUGCGAUUUAGCGUUCUUGAGAUUUUGUUCUGAAGGCCGCUUGUCCUGGAGUGAGGAUUACUUGGUUGCAUUAUCUUAGAUUAGAGGCGCUACCGUUCUUGUGUGAUAAAUGGCGACCUCUAACAAGCCAAUAUCUUUGGCUGGGCCGUUGGACGCUGAUGUCCAGAGGACGGCGGAAUUGAACAAGUUCUUGGUUGAAGCCGGCCUAUAUGAAAGUGCCGAUGAGUCUGCUAGGCGAGAGGAGGUGCUGGGGGAGCUUGACAAGAUUGUAAAAGAUUGGGUGAAACAAUUAACUAGUCAGAGAGGAUACACUGAUCAAAUGGUUGAAGAGGCAAAUGCCGUGCUUUUCACCUUUGGGUCAUACCGUCUAGGGGUCCAUGGGCCUGGGGCUGACAUUGAUACUCUAUGUGUUGGACCUUCAUAUGUGAAUCGCGAGGAAGACUUCUUCAUUGUACUGCAUGACAUAUUAGCACAAACGGAGGAAGUGACUCAAUUGCAACCUGUACCUGAUGCACAUGUACCUGUGAUGAAAUUUAAGUUCCAUGGGAUAUCCAUCGACCUUCUAUAUGCCAGUGUUUCUCUCUUAGUAGUACCAUCUGAUUUGGAUAUCUCUCAGGAAGCAGUGCUUUAUGACAUUGAUGAGGCAACUGUCCGUAGUCUUACUGGCUGCAGAGUGGCUGACCAAAUUCUUAGGCUUGUUCCGAAUAUUGAGAGCUUUCGAACAACACUAAGGUGUUUAAAGCACUGGGCAAGAAGAAGAGGUGUUUAUUCUAAUGUUACUGGUUUUCUUGGAGGUGUGAAUUGGGCUUUACUGGUUGCGCGAGUCUGCCAGCUCUAUCCUAAUGCUGUGCCAAGUAUGCUGGUCUCGAGAUUCUUCAGGGUUUUUACCCAGUGGCGCUGGCCAACUCCAGUGAUGCUUUGCGCCAUUGAGGAGGAGGAACUUGGCUUUCCUGUGUGGGAUCCACGCAAAAAUCCUCGUGACAGAACUCAUCAUAUGCCCAUUAUCACCCCAGCAUAUCCAUGCAUGAACUCCAGCUAUAAUGUUUCGACAAGCACGCUGAGGGUUAUGAUAGAACAAUUCCAGUUUGGCAACAAAAUAUGCCAGGAAAUUGAGAUGAAUAAGGCUAGUUGGUCUGCCCUUUUUGAGCCUUUCAAUUUUUUUGAGGCGUAUAAGAAUUAUCUGCAAGUUGACAUCAUCGCUGAGGAUGAUGAAGAUCUCAGACUUUGGAAGGGAUGGGUGGAGUCUCGAUUGAGGCAACUGACUUUAAAGAUUGAACGGGACACUUAUGGGAAAUUGCAAUGCCAUCCAUACCCAUAUGAGUAUGCAGAUCCUUCUAGACAGUGUGCUCAUUGUGCUUUCUUCAUGGGCUUAUCAAGGAAAGAAGGUGUGAAAAUACAAGAAGGUCAGCAGUUUGAUAUUCGUGGAACAGUUGAUGAGUUCAGGCAUGAGAUCAACAUGUAUAUGUUCUGGAAACCUGGGAUGGAGUUGGCGGUUUCUCAUGUUCGGAGGAAAGAGAUUCCAGCUUAUGUAUUUCCAGAAGGAUACAAGAGACCUCGUCCUCAAAGGCAUGUGAACCAUCAGCACCAGUCUGAUAAAAAUGACCCUGGAAAUGGAUCUCCAGACAGCCAGCUGAAGAGAAAGCAUGAUUCUACUGGGAUUGAUACUGAACCUAGCCGAUCUGUUAAGAGGGCUUCAGUCAGUCCAGUUCACCCAAAAACUUCAUCUCCUCGGUCAGGCAAUGUUAGUGAUGAGCCCAUAAGCAAUAACCAACAGAAGGUUACUUCUAAUGCAAGUGGUGGGAGUCAGGAUUCACCUGGCAGUGGCAAUCGAGAUCAAACAAAGUGCUCAAGUUCAUCACAUGCAUCUGAGAAGAGCUUGGAUUCAGUUGCAUCAGGCUCCAAGUGUGUGAAAAUUGAAGCGGUUUGUUCUGGUGACGUGACUAGCAAGCAUGUUGAUUGUAUUUCACCUGUCAAGGACAGCACUGCUCCAACUGUAGCAGUGAGUACAACUUUAAAGCGUGUUGCCGAGAAGGUUGUUUUGGAGCUUGUUGGAAGUGAAAGCAUUGGCGGCAAUAAGGCAGAGUUACUGCAGAUUGCAGAAACAGACAUGGGAAAUGUCCUUGUUGAAAAUCUGCACUUUGGUGGGAAUGGAGUUUCUCAGAGCGGCCUCCCUGAAGAGUUAGAGCUCAUGCAGGUUUGAAGUCAGAUGGAUCCCAGAAGUUAUCAUUGAGAUCUGCAAACACUGGGGACUUGAAGGAAGAUGGUGGUAAAAUCAUGUCUGGCAAUGGCAUGGCAAAAACAACAAACAAGCGAAGUUUCUUUCAUGGAAGGUCAUAAGAUCUUUGCCAACUCUAGUCUAGAUCUGUGGCAAGUUCAUUUAUGGAACUAGCUCGCUCCGCAGCUUAAUUUGUCGAUUGCGUCUGGAGUUGCGGUGUAGCUCACCCUAAUGUAUGGAUCGAACUCCAGCAGGCUCCUUGGGUUGACUUGUUUACUUCCCAGGGAUUCUGCUGUAGGGCUAGAUUAGAGAGAGAUGUGCUAUUAUCCUUCUGUGUUUCUCAAGACCCCUUUGUACCCUCCCAACCUUUGUAAUAUAAGAUAUCUGCAAGGUGGUUCCUUGUACUUUGGCACAGCUCGCUUUUUUAUCUCAGUUUCAUGUUCAGGCUGCUGCUGAAUGUGAGUUUGGGUAACUAUAUUACCUGUUAAUAUAACACCAUGUAAUACUGUU